rnacentral:rRNA from 1 species
AUUGAACGCUGGCGGCAGGCCUAACACAUGCAAGUCGAGCGGAUGAAGGGAGCUUGCUCCUGGAUUCAGCGGCGGACGGGGGUGUAAUGCCUAGGAAUCUGCCUGGUAGUGGGGGAUAACGUCCGGAGACGGGCGCUAAUACCGCAUACGUCCUGAUGGAGAUAGUGGGGGAUCUUCGGACCUCUCGCUAUCAGAUGAGCCUAGGUCGGAUUAGCUAGUUGGUGGGGUAACGGCCUACCAAGGCGACGAUCCGUGACUGGUCUGAGAGGAUGAUCAGUCACACUGGAACUUAGACAGGGUCAAGACUCCUACGGGAGGCCGCAGUGGGGAAUAUUGGACAACGGUCGAAAAUCUGAUACAACCAGGCCACGUGUGUGAAAAAGAUCUCGCGAUUGUGAAGCACUUUAAGGUGGGAUAAAGGGCAGUAAGCUAUUACGAAGCUGUUUUGACGUUACCAACAGAAUAAGCACCGGCUAACUACGUG